rnacentral:rRNA from 1 species
UACGUAGGGUGCGAGCGUUAAUCGGAAUUACUGGUCGUAAAGCGUGUGCAGGCGGUUUGUUAAGACAGGUGUGAAAUCCCCGGGCUUAACCUGGGAAUUGCGCUUGUUACUGGCAGACUAGAGUGCGUCAGAGGGAGGUGGAAUUCCACGUGUAGCAGUGAAAUGCGUAGAGAUGUGGAGGAACACCGAUGGCGAAGGCAGCCUCCUGGGAUGACACUGACGCUCAUACACGAAAGCGUGGGGAGCAAACAGG